UUGGAGGGCAAGUCUGGUGCCAGCAGCCGCGGUAAUUCCAGCUCCAAUAGCGUAUAUUAAAGUUGUUGCAGUUAAAAAGCUCGUAGUUGAAUUUCGGGAUCAGUAGGUUGGUCAUGCCAAUGGUAUGUACUGGCUUUACUGAUUCCUCCUUCUUGAUGAUCUGUAAUGUCAUUAAUUUGGUGUUGCAGGGAGUCAGGACUGUUACUUUGAAAAAAUUAGAGUGUUUAAAGCAGGCAUACGCUUGAAUACAUUAGCAUGGAAUAAUGAAAUAGGACGUUCGAUCCUAUUUUGUUGGUUUCUAGGAUUGACGUAAUGAUUAAUAGGGAUAGUUGGGGGCAUUAGUAUUCAAUUGUCAGAGGUGAAAUUCUUGGAUUUAUUGAAGACUAACUACUGCGAAAGCAUUUGCCAAGGAUGUUUUCAUUAAUCAAGAACGAAAGUUAGGGGAUCGAAGACGAUCAGAUACCGUCGUAGUCUUAACCAUAAACUAUGCCGACUAGGGAUCGGAUGAUGUUAUUUUUAAUGACUCAUUCGGCACCUUACGGGAAAC
rnacentral:rRNA from 1 species